rnacentral:rRNA from 1 species
GACGAACGCUGGCGGCGUGCCUAAUACAUGCAAGUAGAACGCUGAAGAGAGGAGCUUACUCUUCUUGGAUGAGUUGCGCACGGGUGAGUAACGCGUAGGUAACCUGCCUUGUAGCGGGGGAUCACUAUUGGAAACGAUAGCUAAUACCGCAUAACAAUGGAUGACACAUGUCAUUUAUUUGAAAGGGGCAAUUGCUCCACUACAAGGUGGACCUGCGUUGUAUUAGCUAGUAGGUGAGGUAAUGGCUCACCUAGGGGACGAUACAUAGACGACCUGAAAGGGUGAGCGGCCAAACUGGGACUGGGACACGGCCCAGACUACUAACGGGGGGAGCAGGAGGGGAACUUUGGCAAAGGGGGCAACGCUGAACGAGGAACGCCGCGGGGGUGAAGAAGGGUGUCGGGUCGGAAAAGUCUGUUGUAAGUCAAGAACGGGUGUGGGAGUGGAAAGUUCACACUGUGACGGUAGCUUACCAGAAAGGGACGGCUAACUACGUG